rnacentral:rRNA from 1 species
UACAGAGACUGCAAGCGUUAUUCGGAUUCACUGGGCGUAAAGGGUGCGCAGGCGGCCGUGUGUGUGAGGCGUGAAAGCCUGGAGCUUAACUCCAGAAUUGCACCUCAAACUACACGGCUAGAGCAUUGGAGAGGGUAGCAGAAUUCAUGGUGUAGCAGUGAAAUGCGUAGAUAUCAUGAGGAAUACCAGAGGCGAAGGCGGCUACCUGGACAAUUGCUGACGCUCAGGCCCGAAAGCGUGGGGAGCAAAAGGG